rnacentral:lncRNA from 1 species
UUUACAUUUAAUAUUGUAAUUUACAAGAAAACCUUUUUUUUUUUUUUCCCCAGAGAUUUAUGGUUGAAGGUAACCAAGCAUAAGGACAGAUGGUGCUCACUGGCCAUGUGGUCUCAAUUUUCCUUUGCCCUGACAUUAUUUACUGGCUUUGGAGUCAGGAAAUAAUGGAGUCAAGAAAAGACGAAACUCCUCUCUGUUGACAUGCUCCACUUUUAAUGAUACUAAGAGACGCACACGCACCAUCAAUUCUAGCAUCCGUCAAGUUCGAGGGCGUCAUCAGAAUCUGCUGCUCAUUAUUAAAGGGCCAGCAGAGUCUCCUCAGGGUCUGUUCCAGUCAGCAGGAAGCAUCCCAACGGUCUGCCGUCCCAUUCAGCCCCCGCCUGGCACAGAACAGCUGAAGUGCCAUUGUGACUUAAUGGCGUUCAUGCCGGCGGGCCCAGGAUCCGAACAGCGGCCCCUGACACGGCCUCUCAGGCUUAAACAGCGACUCUACGCACUGAUCUGGAGUCAGUGUGAAGUCUUUGCCACCAGAAGAGCUUC